CACCAGACUCCUACGGGAGGCAGCAGUCGGGAAUAUUGCGCAAUGGAGGAAACUCUGACGCAGUGACGCCGCGUGCAGGAAGAAGGUUUUCGGAUUGUAAACUGCUUUAGACAGGGAAGAUACAAGACAGUACCUGUAAAAUAAGCUCCGGCUAACUACGUGCCAGCAGCCGCGGUAAUACGUAGGGGGCAAGCGUUAUCCGGAUUUACUGGGUGUAAAGGGAGCGUAGGCGGUUAGAUAAGUCUGAUGUGAAAGCCCACAGCUUAACUGUGGGAUUGCAUUGGAAACUAUAGAACUAGAGUGUCGGAGAGGUAAGUGGAAUUCCUAGUGUAGCGGUGAAAUGCGUAGAUAUUAGGAGGAACACCAGUGGCGAAGGCGGCUUACUGGACGAUGACUGACGCUGAGGCUCGAAAGCGUGGGGAGCAAACAGGAUUAGAUACCCUCGUAUA
rnacentral:rRNA from 1 species